rnacentral:rRNA from 1 species
UCUCCGUUGGUGAACCAGCGGAGGGAUCAUUACCGAGUUUACAACUCCCAAACCCAAUGUGAACGUUACCAAACUGUUGCCUCGGCGGGAUCUUCUGCCCCGGGUGCGUCGCAGCCCCGGACCAAGGCGCCCGCCGGAGGAAUCAACCAAAACUCUUAUUGUAUACCCCCUCGCGGGUUUUUUUAUAAUCUGAGCCUUCUCGGCGCCUCUCGUAGGCGUUUCGAAAAUGAAUCAAAACUUUCAACAACGGAUCUCUUGGUUCUGGCAUCGAUGAAGAACGCAGCGAAAUGCGAUAAGUAAUGUGAAUUGCAGAAUUCAGUGAAUCAUCGAAUCUUUGAACGCACAUUGCGCCCGCCAGUAUUCUGGCGGGCAUGCCUGUCCGAGCGUCAUUUCAACCCUCGAACCCCUCCGGGGGGUCGGCGUUGGGGAUCGGCCUUCCUUCACGGGGGCCGUCUCCGAAAUACAGUGGCGGUCUCGCCGCAGCCUCUCCUGCGCAGUAGUUUGCACACUCGCAUCGGGAGCGCGGCGCGUCCACAGCCGUUAAACACCCAACUUCUGAAAUGUUGACCUCGGAUCAGGUAGGAAUACCCGCUGAACUUAAGCAUAUCAAUAAGCGGAGG